rnacentral:lncRNA from 1 species
CUCCGCUCUCCGCCUCCUCCAGCUCCCUCCUCCCCGCCCCCGCCUUCCUCCGGGAAGGCGGCGCUGUGGACCUGGCCGUCCCGGCCUCCUGGACUCUCUGCGCCCCUCCCCGGCCAGCGACCCCCACUCUCAGGAGCUGCUGGAAUCCAUCUAGGCCCCUUACCGCCCUCAGCCCCGUACCCAGCCUUCCUCUCACUCCUCCAGCUCCAUCGGCUGGUUGACACCGAGAAUAUACGUGGCAUGCCCUCGAGAGAGACCCUGGGUGUUGCUGCUGGACGUGGUUGGGGGUGAGAGGGGCUGUGUGUGUGUUGUACAGUGAGGGAAGACUGGAAAGAUGUCCAUAUCUGCCCCAUCCAGACCGUGCCCCAAGCGAAGAGACGACUCUAGCUUCCAGCCGGGAGCCUCGCUGGUUGUCGCCGGCGGCAACCUUUGAAUUGCACUUUUAUUGUUUACAAACACCUUCGCCUGCCCUUUUCGGAACUGUCUCCACAGGAAGUGUGAAUCUGGGAUGGAAAAAUCUUCCGGCUAAUUUGACCCACUUUACCAGCUGAAUCACCGCCAGGCGAUGUGUCCAGCUCUUCCCAAAGAAGGUAGUAAGGGCACCCUUUACGGAGAGGGCAGGUGUGCCAGCACCCGCUACCGCUUGGUCAUUCCGCCAGCCCUUCCAGUCAUCCUCCCAGGGAUUUUUUUUUUUUUUUUUAAUCAUCCCUGUCUUAUAAAUGAGGAAACCAAGGCUCAGAGAGAUUAAUUAGCUUGCCAAGGGUCACACAGAGAGGAAGUGAUGAAGCCAGGUAACCAGUGGGCGGCUGGGCUUCUCAUUCCCAAAACUUUUCCGUGGCCACCAGAAUCCAGGUUACCUCGGUGGACAGGGAGCUCUCCUCUCUCCAUCUGCUCUUUCUCUUUUUUGAUCUCUUCGUUUCCCUCCACACCCCUGUCAGCCAGCGGCCCUCUCUUAGGUCCACUGUUGUUGCUCUUGCUCUUCCUCUUCUGGAUGGAAUUCUGUCCUCUGACCCUUCCUCCCCAGCCUUUGGCACUAGGCUGGUUCAUCUGCACCGGUGGAAACCC